AACGAACGCUGGCGGCAUGCCUAACACAUGCAAGUCGAACGAAGUCUUCGGACUUAGUGGCGCACGGGUGCGUAACGCGUGGGAAUCUGCCCUUGGGUGCGGAAUAACUUCUCGAAAGGGAUGCUAAUACCGCAUAAUGUCGUAAGACCAAAGAUUUAUCGCCCAAGGAUGAGCCCGCGUAAGAUUAGCUAGUUGGUGGGGUAAAAGCCUACCAAGGCGACGAUCUUUAGCUGGUCUGAGAGGAUGAUCAGCCACACUGGGACUGAGACACGGCCCAGACUCCUACGGGAGGCAGCAGUGGGGAAUAUUGGACAAUGGGCGAAAGCCUGAUCCAGCAAUGCCGCGUGAGUGAUGAAGGCCCUAGGGUUGUAAAGCUCUUUUACCAGGGAUGAUAAUGACAGUACCUGGAGAAUAAGCUCCGGCUAACUCCGUGCCAGCAGCCGCG
rnacentral:rRNA from 1 species